CGAACGAGAAAGUGGAGCAUCCAUGAGUACAGUGGCGUACGGGUGAGUAACACGUGGGUGAUCUACCUUUUAGUGAGGAAUAACCGAGGGAAACUUUGGCUAAUACCGCAUAAGCCCGAGAGGGGAAAGCAGAAAUGCGCUGAAAGAGGAGCCCGCGGCCGAUUAGCUAGUUGGUGAGGUAAGAGCCCACCAAGGCAGAGAUCGGUAGCCGGCCUGAGAGGGCACACGGCCACACUGGCACUGAAACACGGGCCAGACUCCUACGGGAGGCAGCAGUGGGGAAUCUUGCACAAUGGGGGAAACCCUGAUGCAGCGACGCCGCGUGAGCGAUGAAGCCCUUCGGGGUGUAAAGCUCUUUCGUCAGGGAAGAUAGUGACGGUACCUGGAGAAGCAGCUGCGGCUAACUACGUGCCAGCAGCCGCGGUAAUACGUAGGCAGCAAGCGUUGUUCGGAGUUACUGGGCGUAAAGGGUGUGUAGGCGGUUCUUUAAGUUUGGUGUGAAAUCUCCCGGCUCAACUGGGAGGGUGCGCCGAAUACUGAGGGACUAGAGUACGGGAGAGGAAAGUGGAAUUCCUGGUGUAGCGGUGAAAUGCGUAGAUAUCAGGAGGAACACCGGUGGUGUAGACGGCUUUCUGGACCGACACUGACGCUGAAACACGAAAGCGUGGGUAGCAAACAGGAUUAGAUACCCUGGUAGUCCACGCCCUAAACGAUG
rnacentral:rRNA from 1 species